AUUGAACGCUGGCGGCAGGCCUAACACAUGCAAGUCGAGCGGAUGAAGGGAGCUUGCUCCUGGAUUCAGCGGCGGACGGGUGAGUAAUGCCUAGGAAUCUGCCUGGUAGUGGGGGAUAACGUCCGGAAACGGGCGCUAAUACCGCAUACGUCCUGAGGGAGAAAGUGGGGGAUCUUCGGACCUCACGCUAUCAGAUGAGCCUAGGUCGGAUUAGCUAGUUGGUGGGGUAAAGGCCUACCAAGGCGACGAUCCGUAACUGGUCUGAGAGGAUGAUCAGUCACACUGGAACUGAGACACGGUCCAGACCCCUACGGGAGGCAGCAGUGGGGAAUAUUGGACAAUGGGCGAAAGCCUGAUCCAGCCAUGCCGCGUGUGUGAAGAAGGUCUUCGGAUUGUAAAGCACUUUAAGUUGGGAGGAAGGGCGGUAAGUUAAUACCUUGCUGUUUUGACGUUACCAACAGAAUAAGCACCGGCUAACUUCGUG
rnacentral:rRNA from 1 species